rnacentral:rRNA from 1 species
CGGCAACAGCUCAAAUUUGAAAUCUGGCUCUUUUAGAGUCCGAGUUGUAAUUUGCAGAGGGCGCUUUGGCGUUGGCAGCGGUCCAAGUUCCUUGGAACAGGACGUCACAGAGGGUGAGAAUCCCGUACGUGGUCGCUGGCCUACGCCGUGUAAAGCCCCUUCGAC